GAAUAUGAGAAUAUUUAUUAAUAAAAAACAUUCAAAAUUUAUCUCUGUCUCUCUUUCUCCAACGCGAUUUAGUAUAGGGAAAUGUACUACGUUAAUCAAAUAAGGUUAGGUUUUGGGAUUUAACUCUUGUGGAUGAAACUUAAGUU
rnacentral:lncRNA from 1 species